AGGCGUUUGUAGGAUGACUUGACUUUUUUCCCCAUCAGAACGACGCUGCUGAUAUAGUGUCUUAAUGCCAAACUGUCUGAAAACGCCU